rnacentral:pre_miRNA from 1 species
UGGACAGAUUAUUGUAUUCGACUGUAUUCACGGCGUGAAAUAGGGGAUUACACUGUUUUUAAAAUGGAAAGUGAAUCAAUUAACAUAAUAGACUCAU